UACGAAGGGUGCAAGCGUUACUCGGAAUUACUGGGCGUAAAGCGUGCGCAGGCGGUUGGUUAAGUCUGAUGUGAAAGCCCCGGGCUCAACCUGGGAAUGGCAUUGGAAACUGGCGAGCUAGAGUGUGGCAGAGGGGGGUGGAAUUCCGCGUGUAGCAGUGAAAUGCGUAGAGAUGCGGAGGAACACCGAUGGCGAAGGCAGCCCCCUGGGCCAACACUGACGCUCAGGCACGAAAGCGUGGGGAGCAAACAGG
rnacentral:rRNA from 1 species